CAAUAGCGUAUAUUAAAGUUGUUGCAGUUAAAAAGCUCGUAGUUGGAUUUGUGGUGUACUUCGGCGGCCCGUCACUAUGUGAUGGAGCUUGCUGAAGUCGCCAUCCUUGGGUGGAUCCUGUGUGGCAUUAAGUUGUCGUGCAGGGGAUGCCCAUCGUUUACUGUGAAAAAAUUAGAGUGUUCAAAGCAGGCUUAUGCCGUUGAAUAUAUUAGCAUGGAAUAAUAAGAUAGGACCUUGGUACUAUUUUGUUGGUUUGCGCACCAAGGUAAUGAUUAAUAGGGACAGUUGGGGGUAUUCGUAUUUCAUUGUCAGAGGUGAAAUUCUUGGAUUUUUGGAAGACGAACUACUGCGAANGNAUUUACNAAGGAUGUUUNCAUUA
rnacentral:rRNA from 1 species